AGUGAACGCUGGCGGUAGGCCUAACACAUGCAAGUUGAACGGCAGCACAGGAGAGCUUGCUCUCUGGGUGGCGAGUGGCGGACGGGUGAGGAAUACAUCGGAAUCUACUCUGUCGUGGGGGAUAACGUAGGGAAACUUACGCUAAUACCGCAUACGACCUACGGGUGAAAGCAGGGGAUCUUCGGACCUUGCGCGAUUGAAUGAGCCGAUGUCGGAUUAGCUAGUUGGCGGGGUAAAGGCCCACCAAGGCGACGAUCCGUAGCUGGUCUGAGAGGAUGAUCAGCCACACUGGAACUGAGACACGGUCCAGACUCCUACGGGAGGCAGCAGUGGGGAAUAUUGGACAAUGGGCGCAAGCCUGAUCCAGCCAUACCGCGUGGGUGAAGAAGGCCUUCGGGUUGUAUAGCCCUUUUGUUGGGAAAGAAAUCCAGCUGGCUAAUACCCGGUUGGGAUGACGGUACCCAAAGAAUAAGCACCGGCUAACUUCGUGCCAGCAGCCGCAGUAA
rnacentral:rRNA from 1 species